GUUAGAUGUGAGGAACUCUAAAGAGACGGGUGUCAGUUGUCAGUGAUGUAUCGGUGUGAAAGGAUGAAGCUCCUACUGUGCAGUCUGUUACUCGCCUCUCUCCACACCCGCUCUUCUUGGAGUGUUUCAUCUGGUACAGUUGAUGUUACCCAGACUCCUGAUGUCUCCGUCAUGGAGGGGGAGACAGUAAACAUCUCCUGCUGCUGGCCAACGCACUUUGAAAGAGUUAGAGUUACCUGGAAGAAAAAUCAAACACUGAAGACUGAACAUUUUAAUAACUCUCAAAGGUCUCAGCAAAAGGAAAUAUCUAACUGCUCACACUUGACCUUCACUAAUGUCACAAGAGGGGAUUCAGGGAGAUACAUCUGCUGCGUAACAAUGGAGAUACCAUUUUUAAAUAAAGGUAAAGGAGAUGGGACUUUCAUCACAGUCAGAGACAACACAACGGACCACACAACAGAAGGUGAACAUCCAGAAUCUUCCAGCAGUCAUCUGCAGUUCACCGUGAUAAUCCCUCUGGCUGUGGUGGCCCUCUUACUCCUCAUCACUCUUGUGGGUUUCUGCUGUCUGCGAAGGAGACAUGCACAAGCAGCCCGGGUGAUCUACGAGGUUCCCCACAUUGACUCUGAGGAGGUAGAAAUGGACAAACACAGCACCAGCUCCUCCAGAGGUUCAUCUCAGUGGUGUCAGGUACCAGUAUAUGAAUCCUUCGAUUACUUUGAACGUGUCGAGAACAAAGAAAGUGGAUGA
rnacentral:lncRNA from 1 species